GGGUGUAGUGGUGGUGGUAGGGUGUGGUGGUUUGGGUGUAAGGUGAUGGUAGGGUGUGGUGGUUUGGGUGUAGUGGUGGUGGUAGGGUGUGGUGGUUUGGGUGUAGUGGUGGUGGUAGGGUGUGGUGGUUUGGGUGUAGUGGUGGUAGGGUGUGGUGGUUUGGGUGUAAGGUGAUGGUAGGGUGUGGUGGUUUGGAUGUAGGGGUGAUGGUAGGGUGUGCUGGUUUGGGUGUAACGUGAUGGGAGGGCUCUUAAAGUAUCACCUGGGGAACACUUACAACUUCACUUAGCUUUAGAAACCACUCUAUGAAAUGCUCUACACUCUAUCUGACAACAUUUGCCCAAAACACAUUUUUGACAAUGCCUCAAAGAAUUUAACCAGAUUUAGUUUUACACCAAAAACAUUGCAAAUAUAAAUUUAUCCUUAGCAGUGCCUCAAAACCUUUAACCAAAUUUAGCUUUGCAUCAAAAACAUUGCAUUUUUGUAAGUAACUCACCUAGGAUGACUUGACUUGCUCGUGGUAAAUAUAUAUGUAUAAUAAUUAAGGGAAAAGACUCAACAAAAGAUUCCAACAAGUGAUUUGUCUUUGUCUUAUUUUUCUGCUUUUUAUUGUUUAACGCACCACGCAAGUGACUGGUGGUCACUCUUUAUACUCGUGGUCACUCAGGGUUUUUAGGCCCGGAGUGCUCACGACAGAGCACUUAUAACCAACUCACUCCGUAGCCACUAUUUUACCAGAAAGCUCAUACAAAAAUAAUUAGGACAAAUCACUUUGCAAGUACCCUUUUGGAGAAAUUACCCUGUGACCAGGAAAGCUGUAAAGCACAGCCUAGUCCGAAUUAGAGAUCUUGACCUCGUAAGCCGAGUUACAGCCGGAGGGCCAAUGCCAACCAAAAUCAGGAUCUGGGUUAUUACGCAGAAUUUUCAAUAUUUAUCUAGGGUCACAGAACUCCACCCAGGUACAUGCAAAGUGAUCAGUACGUCACAUAUAGCACACAUCUUUCCAAAUACAGGCAACACUUUCUUAGAAACCACAAUCUUCAAUGUUCUAGCCCCCUACACCUCCUCCCCAGCCAGGUGUGAAGUCACUGCCACCUCGCUUGUCGAAGGAGCCGGAAGCUCGCACCCGCAUUGUCUGCAGGCCUCCCAUGCGCCGCAUAACAUACAGGUUUCGUACAUCAAUGUCAAGUAAAGGUCAACUGUCAAAAGAACAGAAGGUCCUUAUCUUUCCUGCACACAAACAUAACAGUUACAGAAAUUAAUACAAAAUAACCUAAACUUAAAAUUUGAAUUGAAAGAAUUAAGCAAAUUAACAUAAAAGAAACAAAUCAGAUUAAAUCAAAACAGAACAAGUAACUUAUGUUAAUAUGGGUCACAAAAACACUUCUAAUAUCUAAAUCAAACACUCUUAAUCUCUAUUGCUCUAACAGUUAUUCAUUUAUCAAAAUAAAGCAUCAUGAACAUCUUCAUCUGAAUUUCAGGAGCCCUUUUGGUAGGGCUUACGCCAAAACCUUCAUCUUUUCACCCCACCCGAGUGAGCUCUCCCGUGACCGAGGGGGGGGUUCACGACAAUAUUCAUGUUCUUUUCUCAUCUGCAGCUUCCUGUAUGAGAACACAACACAUUGCUGGGGCCACAGAAAUGUUGGCUGAUGAGACGCUCAUGAUUCAUGAAAUGGGUCAAAUGCAGAUGACAAAGAAAAGUCAACACUGAGCAGGAGGUGCUGACCCAGACUUCUGCCUCUGUUUAGGUUUUCACUCUGCAGACAGAAAUUUCAACCAGUCAGACUUAAGGCCCAUUCUGCUCUUCCUCCUCCAGAACACGAGAGAUACAUCAGACUGAAUGAUCCAAGUACACUGGGUCAUGUCUCCACUGUCCAUGUCCAGACUCACAGAGGAGGAGGAGGAGGUCCAGACUGCAGCAGACCUGUGGGGCCUCUGGUUGCAUCAGGCCUCCCUCCUGCACAUUCUGUUUGCUGCUGUUCCUAAUGUGUCCUAAUAGUGAUGUGUCCAUAUUAGGUUUAACGUCUAAUUUUCUCCAGAAGUGAAACAGUAAAAUGGUGGUUUCUGUUCGUCUUAGCUGAGGAGCACCUAAACAGCUUUAUCACUGAGGAAGUGUGUCCCAUGAUAAAUGUGUCCUUAUAUGACCUUAACAAGUGUAUGAGACAAAACUAGAGUCAUAUAAGUUGCUCAUAAUAAGUUUUUCUGAAUGUUUUUCAUUCUGUACUGAUGUUUGAUUCAUGAUGAAAUGUGCCAUUUACUUUCUGUCUCUUUUGAAAGUAACUAAUUACAUGUACUAUAAGAAUGUACUAUUGUACUGCAGUUAAGCAGUGGUAUUCCACCUCAUCAUAUUUUGGAUUUUUUUUUUUCUGCUUCAGCAAAAUGGGAAGAACUCUUUGAGAGUACACUGACAUACAGCUAUUUUACUCACCUAUUAAUGCAGUAUGUGUUUGUGUUUGUGUUUGUGUGUGUGUGUGUGUAAUGGGUUUAAUGUUUGACUAUUCACAUUAUGAUAAAGUAUUUACAGUAUUUACAAUCCUUUGAUUGUUUAAUAAACCAUCUUUUCUCAAA